CGGAUCAGGCCAUCUCCCUUCUUGUUUUUCUUUCUUCUGUACAGAGUACAUUUCUCCCAACACCCAGGCCCACCCAUCGUCUACCUCUGGUUCUUUCAGUGAGCUUGAGGAACUGAAAGUCUGAAACCAAUCCCGACGACGCCGCGCAUGCGCGCCUUCCCCGGCCUUCCCCGCGUCCAGGCGCGUCCCCCCUGGGGCAGAUAAGCUCACCGCGCCCUGGAGCCCUAUCUCAUCCGCAGGCCGCGAAAUCGCCGCGCCGAUCCGCUGGCCGUCGCCGCGCUUUCCUCCUCGACCGCUCGCCCCCGCGGCCUAUAAAAUGAAGCCCCGAGACCCCCUUGACCUCCACAACACCACGCCCCACUCCCAUCUUCCCUCGGGCUCCCAGUAGCCCGAAUUUUGUCGAGGAGCUGCCGCUGUUUUCUCCGACGCCGGCGACGAUUUCCGUCGCUGUGAAGGAGCUCGGGAGCAUCCGCGGCAACGGGAGCCGAACACACCGGCGGUGCGGACGUGGCUCUCGUCGCUGUCCAACUUCGCCGGAACCAGCUGACCACCGGUGGAGCUCCGUCACGCCUCCAAGCCUCGCCCAAACCAUCCGACGUCUGCAGCUCCGUUUCCGUCCACGACCGGAGUUGCAAAAUCCCUUGCCGGACACACAUCGUGAGCACAUCCACAUUGUCCGGACUGCGGAAGAAGUAGGAGGUCACUGCUCAGGCAAGUUACAUCUACAUGUCUAUCCCAUUUAUUUUUGCUAUGCUAUUUUGAUUAUAAAAGUAGGAAUGCAUGCGAUAGUUUUAUUUUGUUAGCCAAGUAUUUUUAGAAAUGGCGAUGUUUUAUAGUUAUGUCCUAUGGUAGAAAUAAGCCGUAGGGAUUAUCACCCACUUUGUAACCUUAGGUAAAUAUAUGCUAGAUUAAGUUCUAGUAAAGUUUUGAACUAUAUAGUUAUGCUUAGUCAUGCUAAAAUAAAAUCCGUUGGGGGGUUCAAAUGAAAUAAUGUUUACGAAAUAGAAAUGGUUUGUGAAAUGUGUUUACCAAAUUAAAAUGUAAAAUUAUUUCAUCCUGGGCGGAGUGGUAUGAUGGGUCAUCGCGUGUGGAGCUGUGUGCUCAAAUUGGUUGGGUCCGCCGCCCAGGGACCCCUAAAAGAACAAAUUCAUGUUUAGAAUUACUCAGUUAUUUCGUGCAACCACAUGUCAUAUGGGCUCUGGCUUGGUUGAUUAUCUUGUGGAAACCUACUUAAGGACCGUCAUCGGUAUGAGACUUUGUGUCUAUUUUGGAGCGGGCGUGCCUGGAAAUAAGUAGUUAGCCAUUUGGGAAAGACCUCGGCAUAACCUUCGGGUUGUGCCAUGUGGUGAAAGUGUGCAACCCCUGCAGGGUGUAGAACUAAUCGAUUAGCCGUGCCCACGGUUACGGGCGAAGCUGAGUAACCUUUACCUGAAGAUGUCUCUUCUCAACUUUGUCUUUCUAAACAUAAAUUGAAUUUCAAACCCUAUGUCCGUGUGUCGUUCAUAGGUGGGAUUUUGGGGAAAGCCCUGUGUUCGUGUGUCGCUCACGGGUACUUUCAUCUAGGCUAGUUGGACUAUGUGACCUCUAGUCAUAUAUUACUUGAUAAAAUUGUUUAUUAAAGAUAGGACGAGUUAGAACUUUGGAAAUGUUAAAAUGUGGUUUAUUGAUGUAAAAUAUUGUUUUGCGCAAAUGUUAAACCCUAUGGCCAUUUCCUUUGAUAUUCCUAAGCAUGUAGAAAUAGGUAUAUUAUUGCAUUGGUGUAACUUGCCACACAUUCAAAGUGUUGACCACUCUCGUGGCUGCAACGUCUCAUGUUGCAGGUUGUUCCGAUGACGAGUGAGAUACGAUGUUAGGGUCACGAUGCUCCAGUCGAUUGCAUGUGGCACAUUUGCUGGAUUCGCCGCUUUAUUUGUCUUCCGCUGUUCAUUUUGGCCUACGGGCAUUUAUGUAAUAAAUAACUAUGUAUCGGAUUUGAUGCGUUGUAAUAAUGAUAUGACUGUGAUAUUUA